UAUAAUUUUUUCAAUUCUUAUCAAAAUGUAUACAAUUAGAUAUAAAAACAAAGAUAUGAAAAAGACAAGGCACCUGCAACACCCAGUAAUAUGUUACGAAUGUAUAUUUGUUAAUGAAAGUUUUGUGUUUUUUAUUGAAAUUCUGGAUUUUUAUUUUCAAUUUUUUAUAUUCUAACAGACGAUCAUUAAAUAUGAUAGAUAAACAAGUAGAAAAGAAUAUAGUAAUACAUAAUACUCUCCUCAUAUGUAAUGCUCUCUUUAAACGUAAAUCAAAUUGUUUAAACUGGAUAUGAUGAUUAAAUGUUGUAUCGGCAUGGUUUUAUCUGACUACUUUGCUUUUUCAAUUUGGUUGCCAGCUUCAACCUAAUUCUUGAUUUAGAACUAUGAUUUUGAACUGAAACAUUUCCGUGUUGAAUAAAAUACUAUUUAUUCUUAACUGUAUUUUUUUUGAGGCUUCAGUUAUCAAACUUUGGUGGUAAUUUUAGUUAUGCCACUGUGAAAGCGUCGAUUGUUAAGUAGACAUAAAAAGUUUGAAGUAUGCACAAAGCCUGAAAGUGUCAAAUAUGGAACCUAAAAAAACCUGCCUUUGCCACUGACUAUAUAAAGGUUUUUUAAGGUUUGUUUGUUAAGCGUCAAGUCAGGUUAUCUUGCUACUGGUACCAUGUAGUACAUCCUGCUUAAGCAGGUUGUACGCCAUCCAUACAACGUUUCGGCAUCUGUUUGUAAAAUAUUGCUGCAAAUCUUUUUGAGGGAGCUAUUACUACGGAGAACCAUCUAAACCAUACAAGUGUGGAAACAUGGAUGUAAAUCUUAAACACAUUUGUGAUAUAUAAUUGUAGAAUGUUAUAUGUUGUAAGUUUGGAAAUUAUAUUCUGCUAAAAAAACUUUUUAAAUGUAUUUUAGCAGAACAUACCUGGCCCGCAUUUGAUCCUGAAAAACUUUCUUUUUGGACCAAAUGCUGGCUGGGUAAUUUGGACUUGUAAAUGAACUUAUAUUCAUAAUUUUUAAACUGCUUAUGAUCUGAUCUGAUUUUAUUUUUGUCAUUUGUUUAUUUAGAUUAAUGUAAAAUAAACUGAUGAGUUUAUUUAACUUAGCUGGUAAAAAAAAGAGUUUUCGUGAAACAAAUUUAAUGAAGACAAUUAUAGGUAUACCUGUUAAUGUAAUAUAUUUUGUAUUGUAUUUUGUAUGCUUAAUUUUGACGAAUUUUUAAUUACUGCAAACUCACACUCGCACAAAAAUCAACUGUGAACUCUUAUAUAAUCAGUUGCAAAAGUUGACUUUGAAAAUUUUGAAUAAGAUAUUAUAGCUUAUUUAUUAGACUGUGUUUUUAGAAUGAAGUUCAUUCAUUUGCUAGCAACAUUUUUAAACGUGGUCCAGAUCAAAAAAUGUGGUGCUAGAAAUUGUCGAUAGUGGAAGUGAUAGAUGCAUCUAACCUAAUUUGUAAUUAAUUUCUGUAAAUAAAUUUCACUUUACUAA